AAAAAAUUGAUUUCAUUUCCCCAAUGAAAAAAAAUCCCAGGUAAAAAUUGAACAUCCCUCCGUGGAAGAUUUACCGCACCGUCCGGCAACGUCGCGGAACGAACAGCUGUUGGAUCGAAUUGACGAGGCCACGCGAGGAGGACGGAGCGAUAACAAAGAGAGGGAAAGAGACGUCUAAGCGGCGCAUAGAGGAGCACGCCAGAUUCCCGAACAGCCGGUGCUCUUGUGCCGUGUUUUUGUAGCACCGUGGAAGUUGUGAGAGAGUGAGUGAAGUGGAGUGCAUCGAUCGUGGAGCGUUUCCCUGGUCGUCGUCGGUGUCCCGACCCGACAAAAGAACGGACACUUGUUGCGCCCUCGAAUCACUCCCAAACACACACAGAAAUGGUAAUUCGGCGACAGGGUCGGAUCGAGGUGAAUUUUGGUACUUCGGGAAAUGAAUGAGGGGAAGUGGACUAUGCGACUAGCUUUUUUCUUUUAGAAAUUUCGAAUUAAUCGCGAAACUACAAGUUUUUGAGUGUCAUGAUUGAAGGGCUCCAACUCCCAAACUACGACGAAUGGAAGCUGAGUGAGACGUACAAAGCCACACCUUGGUUAUAAGCAAACAAAACAUAUA